rnacentral:ncRNA from 1 species
CCCGCUGAAUUUAAGCAUAUAACUAAGCGGAGGAAAAGAAACUAACGAGGAUUUCCCUAGUAACGGCGAGUGAACGGGAA